rnacentral:rRNA from 1 species
UACGUAGGGACCGAGCGUUGUCCGGAUUCAUUGGGCGUAAAGAGCUCGUAGGCGGCCACUCAAGUCGAAUGUGAAACCUCGAGGCUUAACCUCGAGCCUGCAUUCGAUACUGGGCGGCUAGAGUCUGGUAGGGGGAUCUGGAAUUCCUGGUGUAGCGGUGGAAUGCGCAGAUAUCAGGAGGAACACCGGUGGCGAAGGCAGCUCGCUGGGACGGUACUGACGCUGAGGCGCGAAAGCGUGGGGAGCAAACAGG